rnacentral:rRNA from 1 species
GAUGAACGCUGGCGGCGUGCCUAACACAUGCAAGUCGAGCGAACGGACGAUAAGCGCGCGUUUCUGAUGUUGGCGACGGGCGGGUGAGUAACAGGUGGAUAACCUUCCUCUUAGACUUGGGGAAGUUCGGGAAAGCGUAGCUACUACUAGGUAAUAUUUUGAACGGGAUGGUUCAAAAGUUAUUUAGGUGCUUGCUGUCACUGCGAGCUGGUUCCUCGCUGGAUUGGUUAGUUGGUAAGGUAACGGCUUAGCAAGGCAACGAUGCAUAGCCGACCUGAGAGGGUGAACCGCCCCACAGGAACUGGGACACGGUCCAGACUCCUACGGGAGGCCGAAGUAGGGAAUCUUGGGAACUGGGGGGAAGCCUGAACGAGCAGCGCAGCGUGAGUGAAGAAAGUCCUCGGGUCGUAAAACUCUGUUAUUAGGGAAGAACAUAUGUGCAAGUAACUAAGCACUUUUUGACGGUACCUAAACAGAAAGCCCCGGCUAACUACGUG